GACGUAGGGCGCGAGCGUUUGUCCGGAUUUAUUGGGCGUAAAGAGCUCGUAGGCGGCUUGUUGCGUCGACUGUGAAAACCUGCGGCUCAACCGUGUGGUCUGCAGUCGAUACGGGCAGGCUAGAGUCCGGAAGAGGAGAGUGGAAUUCCUGGUGUAGCGGUGGAAUGCGCAGAUAUCAGGAGGAACACCUAUAGCGAAGGCAGCUCGCUGGGACGACACUGACGCUGAGACGCGAAAGCGUGGGGAGCGAACAGG
rnacentral:rRNA from 1 species